AUGGCUUCUAACAGAGCUCCUGGACCCGAUAAUAUCCCUGCUGAGUUUUAUCAGGUGUGCUGGGAUAUUGUCAAAGAAGAUAUCAUGGCCCUGUUUAAGCAUUUUCAUCAAGGGACACUGGAUGUCCAACGACUUAAUUACGGAGUCAUCACCCUGCUCCCGAAAUUUUUUGGGGCUGAGAAAAUCCAGCAAUAUAGGCCUAUAUGCCUGCUGAGAUGCCCAUAUAAGCUGAUUACUAAAGUUCUCGACCGCAAAGUAGCUAUCUACGCAGACAAACUCAUUAGCUCUGCCCAGAAUGCCUUUGUGAAGGGCAAAAACAUUAUGGAUGGUGUCCUAUCCCUCCAUAAAUUCUUAACUAUCUCUAUGUUAAGAAAAAAGUGGGGAUUGUCCUUAAGCUAG
rnacentral:rRNA from 1 species